UGUGGGAGCGGGCUUGCCCGCGAUAGCGGUAUGUCUGUGACUUCAAUGGUGACUGAGUGAGCCCCAUCGCGGGCAAGCCCGCUCCCACA
rnacentral:antisense_RNA from 1 species